GGAAGUAAAAGUCGUAACAAGGUUUCCGUAGGUGAACCUGCGGAAGGAUCAUUACAGUAGUCGCCCGGGUUGCCGCAAGGCCUCCCGGGUAACCUACCACCCUUUGUUUAUUACACUUUGUUGCUUUGGCAAGCCUGCCCUCGGGCUGCUGGCUCCGGCCGGCGAGCGCUUGCCAGAGGACCUAAACUCUGUUUGUUUAUACUGUCUGAGUACUAUAUAAUAGUUAAAACUUUCAACAACGGAUCUCUUGGUUCUGGCAUCGAUGAAGAACGCAGCGAAAUGCGAUAAGUAAUGUGAAUUGCAGAAUUCAGUGAAUCAUCGAAUCUUUGAACGCACAUUGAGCCCCCUGGUAUUCCGGGGGGCAUGCCUGUCCGAGCGUCAUUACAACCCUCAAGCUCAGCUUGGUGUUGGGCCCCGCCGCCCCGGCGGGCCCUAAAGUCAGUGGCGGUGCCGUCCGGCUCCGAGCGUAGUAAUUCUUCUCGCUCUGGAGGUCCGGUCGUGUGCUCGCCAGCAACCCCCAAUUUUUUUCAGGUUGACCUCGGAUCAGGUAGGGAUACCCGCUGAACUUAAGCAUAUCAAUAAGCGGAGGAAAUCUCCAGAGGAUCGC
rnacentral:rRNA from 1 species